rnacentral:rRNA from 1 species
CUUGACAUCCAGAGAACUUGGCAGAGAUGCUUUGGUGCCUUCGGGAACUCUGAGACAGGUGCUGCAUGGCUGUCGUCAGCUCGUGUUGUGAAAUGUUGGGUUAAGUCCGCAACGAGCGCAACCCCCUAUCCUUUGUUGCCAGCGAUUCGGUCGGGAACUCAAAGGAGACUGCCGGUGAUAAACCGGAGGAAGGUGGGGAUGACGUCAAGUCAUCAUGGCCCUUACGAGUAGGGCUACACACGUGCUACAAUGGCGCAUACAAAGAGAAGCGACCUCGCGAGAGCAAGCGGACCUCAUAAAGUGCGUCGUAGUCCGGAUCGGAGUCUGCAACUCGACUCCGUGAAGUCGGAAUCGCUAGUAAUCGUAGAUCAGAAUGCUACGGUGAAUACGUUCCCGGGCCUUGUACACACCGCCCGUCACACCAUGGGAGUGGGUUGCAAAAGAAGUAGAUAGCUUAACCUUCGGGAGGGCGUUUACCACUUUGUGAUUCAUGACUGGGGUGAAGUCGUAACAAGGUAGGCGUAGACGU